AACGAACGCUGGCGGCAUGCCUAACACAUGCAAGUCGAACGAGACCUUCGGGUCUAGUGGCGCACGGGUGCGUAACGCGUGGGAACCUGCCCUUAGGUUCGGAAUAACUCCCCGAAAGGGGUGCUAAUACCGGAUAAUGUCUUAGGACCAAAGAUUUAUCGCCUUUGGAUGGGCCCGCGUUGGAUUAGCUAGUUGGUAGGGUAAAAGCCUACCAAGGCGACGAUCCAUAGCUGGUCUGAGAGGAUGAUCAGCCACACUGGGACUGAGACACGGCCCAGACUCCUACGGGAGGCAGCAGUGGGGAAUAUUGGACAAGGGGCGAAAGUCUGAUCCAGCAAUGCCGCGUGAGUGAUGAAGGCCUUAGGGUUGUAAAGCUCUUUUACCCGGGAUGAUAAUGACAGUACCGGGAGAAUAAGCUCCGGCUAACUCCGUG
rnacentral:rRNA from 1 species